rnacentral:rRNA from 1 species
UACGUAGGUGACCAGCGUUGUCCGGAUUUACUGGGCGUAAAGAGCGCGCAGGCGGUCGUUCAAGUCGAGUGUGAAAGCCCCCGGCUCAACUGGGGAGGGUCAUUCGAUACUGAUCGACUGGAAGGCAGUAGAGGGAAGCGGAAUUCCCGGUGUAGUGGUGAAAUGCGUAGAUAUCGGGAGGAACACCAGUGGCGAAGGCGGCUUCCUGGCCUGUUCUUGACGCUGAGGCGCGAAAGCUAGGGGAGCAAACGGG